UACGUAGGGUGCGAGCGUUAACCGGAAUUACUGGGCGUAAAGCGUGCGCAGGCGGUUCGUUGUGUCGGCGGUGAAAGCCCCGGGCUUAACCUGGGAAUGGCCGUUGAAACUGGCGAACUGGAGUGUGGCAGAGGGGGGUGGAAUUCCGCGUGUAGCAGUGAAAUGCGUAGAGAUGCGGAGGAACACCGAUGGCGAAGGCAGCCCCCUGGGCUGACACUGACGCUCAGGCACGAAAGCGUGGGGAGCAAACAGG
rnacentral:rRNA from 1 species